CCUGAGAAACCCAAAAGAUCGAUCGGGGAGAUUCAUCGUCAGCGAUUCUGGUAAGUGMGCGGUUCGCGAUGCCACGGGACCUCGGUUCCGAGGCACGCGUCCGCGCAUGCCAGGUGUCGUCGAUGUGCACUUCUCCCCUAGUAGGACGUCGCGACCCGUUGGGUGUCGGUCUACGGCCCGGGUGGUAGCCUGUCGUGUGUCGGUCUUGCGCCGUCAUGCGGCAGACCCCCGGUUGUCCGACCGGCUGCCCGGCGGUACUCGCACGGUAUCGGGCCGCAAAUAUUCGAACUGCGUCCGGCCCGCCGCAAGCGAGGUCAGUGUUACCCGGAUGUACGGACCUAGCGCCGUCACCGGGCCUGGCCAGCUGUUGGUUUGGCGGUGUCCUGGGACUGGCUCACAAAAUUAUGAUACCGGUCGGCGACGCUACUGCUUUGGGUACUUUCAGGA
rnacentral:rRNA from 1 species